GGGAUGUAGCUCAGUGGCAGAGCACUUGCCUAGCAUGUGUGAGACCUUGGGUUCAAAUCCCUAAGUACCA
rnacentral:tRNA from 1 species